AUGGGAUCGCACGUGGAGAGCUGGAAGGACCGGCCUCCCCGGGCCUCAGUCGGCGGCUCCCGGCCCCGGGGCGAACGCCAGGCCGGGGCCGCUCUCCAGGCCACGCCGCGCACAUGGCCAGUAGGUGGGGGUGCAGAGAGUGCCGGGAGCCCGGCUCCGCGGGCCCGGGGCCCAGCUGCUGCCGGCGCUCGGAGUUCUCGGGCGAAGGGUCCCUUCCGGGCAGCUCGGCCCCGCUCCCUCGUCUGGAGCCUCCCGUCGCACUCCCAAAUCCCGGGCCGGCCUACAGGAUCUUCCUGCACAGCGUACUCCAGUCCCCAGCCCAGCCUCACUCUUACCCCCAGCCCCGGUCUCACCCCAGGCCCCGGGCCCAACCCCGGCCCUGGUCCCGGUCCCGGUCCCGGUCCCAGCCCCAGCCCCGGUCUCAACCUCGGCCUCACUCUCCGCCCCGGCCCCGGCCCUGGCCCUGGUUCCAGCCUCAGCCCCGGUCUCACCCCCGGCCCCGGGCUCAACCUCGGCCUCACUCUCCGCCCCGGCCUCGGCCUCGGUCUCGGCCCCGGCCCCACCCGCCCCGGCCCUAGGCUCACCCCCGGCCUCGGUCUCGGCCCCGCCGCAGCCUCGCUCUGGCGCGGCGACGGCGGCUCGGAGGGUCCGUCCGAGGGGGCGCCGCGGGCCCGGCCAUUUCCUCUUCCUCCGCGGCGGCCGAGGAGGCGGUGGCGGCGGCAGCGCCCCGCCCUCGGCCCUGCGGGCGAACGCGGGCCCGAGAGCCGAGCGCCUGGAGCCGCUGCCACCGCCGCCUCCUCGGCCGCCGUCGCCGGCGUGGUCAUCGUCGUCGUCGUCGCCGCCGCCGCCGCCGCCUCCUACCCCUCCUCCUCCUCCGGCAGCAGCUGCGGGGCCCGAGGCGGGAGCGAGAGGCGGGGCGGCGGCGGCGGCGGCGGAAGGGGGAGGGGAGGAGGAGGAGGGAGGGGGAGGAGCGGGAGCCGGAGUCGCCACCGCCACUGCCGCCGAGCGCCGCCGGGCCCGCCGCCCAGCGCACAGGGACCGUGUCACGGUGACGGGCGCCGGCUGAGCGAGCGAGCGGCGCGGAGCUGCGGCGUCGGCCCCGCCUCCUGGAGGAGCCGCGCAGCCGAGCGCGGCCCGGCCCGGCCCGGCCCCGAUCCCUCCUCCUCCUCUCCUCCUCCUCCCUCUCUUCUUCCUCUCCUCCUCCUCCUCCUCCUCCUCCUCCUCUCCUCCUCCUCCUCCUCCUCCUCCUCCUCCUCCUCCUCCUCCUCCUCCUCUUUCUCGCCGCCGCGGCGGAGCCAGCGCUGCCCCCGCCGCCGCCGCCACCGAACCCACCCCGCCCCCGCGACCGGCCCGGAGCCCGGAGCCGCCGGAGCCGGAGGCAGGGUGCCCGCCUGCCCGCCGCCGCCGCCGCCGGCCGCUCCGUGGCCGGGACGCUCGGUCGGUGCGGGCAGCGCCGGGGCCCCCGCGGGGACUCUGCGUGCAGCCGGAGCCCGGGAGGGGCCGCGCCGCCACCGUCUGAACUAG
rnacentral:lncRNA from 1 species